rnacentral:rRNA from 1 species
AAAUCUUACCGGGUCCGGACACACUGAGGAUUGACAGGCGCUUGUAGUUAUAAGAUUAUUAAUUUAUUAAUAAUUAAAUUUCUGCUAUAAAUAUGCUAGUCCUUUCAUGAUUGUGUGAUAGGUGGUGCAUGGCCGUUCUUAGUUCGUGGAGUGAUCUGUCUGCUUAAUUGCGUUUCACUGUGGACAUUGUUAAAAUAGCGUGUGCGCCAUAAUUUCGGUUAUGUGCUGCCUGCUGUUCCAAAUGUCCUGAAGGCAACGAACGUGACCGCAACCUCUUGUUGCCUCUUCCAAAUACUUAUUUUAUAAUUUAAUUUUAUUAUUAAAUUAUUAAGAUCGGUUUAUAGAGGCUAACUAGAGGGACCGCUGACAACUUUUAAAACAGAGGAAGGUUGCGGCAAUAACAGGUCUGUGAUGCCCUUAGAUGUUCCGGGCUGCACACGUGCUACAAUGAUUAUUGCACUGAGCAUCUAAUUUUAUUAAAAGUUCGUUUGGUUUAAUUUAAUAUUUAUAUUAAAUAAAACUAACGACAUUUCCUACUUCGAAAGUAAGUAGGUAAUCAAUUCGAAGUAAUGAUUUCCACCCGCACAUACUAAUGUCUCUUGAUGUAACCUUGCAUAAUCUCUCUUUUUUGAGGGUGCAUGUAUUGUUUUGUUACCUUGGGACAUGUGCUCCAUUAAUUCUUGGUGGGGACAGACCAUUGUUAAUUGUUGGUCUCGGUCUCAACUAGGAAUGCCUUGUACGGGUCUUUGGUUCAACAAACCACCCGGAAUAUGUCCCUGCCCUUUGUACACACCGCCCGUCGCUCUUACCGAUGGACUUCUCUGUGAGUUUGAGGGACUGGCUCUCUUUUUGAGCUAUGGAAACUCAAACGAACAGUGUGGUCUAAAGGAAAGAGAAGUCGUAACAAGGCAUCGGUAGGUGAACCUGCAGAAGGAUCA